CAAGAUGGCAGAGGAGGAGGACGGGGAGAACACUUUCUCCCCCACAAAUUCAUCAAAAGAGCAUUUAAACGUCGAGUAAAUUCCACAAAACAACUUCUGAAUGCCGGCAGAGGACAUCAAGCACCCAGAAAAGCAAUUCAACUCUUCGAAAGGAGAUGUGCUUGAGCAGUGGACACUGAGUCCUCUGAUGCACCCAUUUCCAGCUGCAACUGAACAAGACAACACUCUGUCUGGCCUUGGCUCUCACUUGGAGAUGACCAGAGGAUGGAAACAGAAGUGGACAGUACGGUGAGAGCAGAAGCUCUGGCUCUGGCACUUGCCAGUGGAGGGGCCUCAGGCAAAUGUACGUUUUAUGAUCCCUGGCCAGGAACUAAGAUCCCACAUGCCACAGUUAACUAAGCCCACCCUGCAACCUCUGAAGCCUGUGUGCUCUGGAACUCGAGUGAUACAACUAGACAGCCCAAUGCUGCAGCUAAGACCCAACACAGCCGAACAAAUAAGGCUGAUACCUACCAGGAGGGCACACAGGAGGACACAGGAGGCUUCAGGCUGCCAACACCCCAUCAUAGGAGAA
ensembl:lncRNA